UUGUGGAAAUAAAUACUCAUCCAAAGACGUUUAAAUUCAUGGAACUGGAGUCGAUUCUAAUAACGCUGGAUGCGAGGAACUGUGAAAAAACAACUACUAAGUAACAACAUGGAAAACAAAAUAGGAGGGAACCCGAAAACAGAGUAAAACAAAAUCAGAAAACACCUUACAUAUUGCAGGCGAGGGGUGAAAAAACCCAGCUGAAAUGUUCAGGCUGUCGUGGAUGAAAACGAAGAGGAAACGGAGUACUUUUGAGGUCGCCUAAAUAAAAAUAAAACUUG